CUUUUUGCCUCCACAGAUUAAGCUCAGCAUAUAAUGAGACGGUCACCUCAUUUUAGUGGGAGAACUGUCCAUAAGUCCGGAAUUGCGCGAUGAAGGCCUGGAAAAAAUGACUUUGUUGUUGUCUGCAAGACAUACUAUGAGACCAUGCACAGAAAUUUCCAGUACAGCCAGCCAGAGCUAGCAAGUGUGGCUGCAGCUAAUAAGACCUCAGCCCGGAGUCGCCAGAGGAGGAAGAGGCUCUUGGACGCGAGGCAAAGUGUACUGGCUGCGGACGAAGUGGACUUCUGGAGGGGAAUCACCGCUGAUGAUGUCAGAUGAAGAAGACGGUGCCGUUGAUGGAGUUUCAGGGUGGAUUGUGAGACCUCCAUCAUUCCUCAGCCAGGAGCUCAGCAAUCUGUGUGCUAAGCUGCAGGCGAGAUUAGAACGGGAACUUUAAAGUGUGCAGCACUGCAUCACCAGCGUCUGCGAAAUGGGCUGCCGUCUAACAGAACACCACCACAUACCUAUGACCCCGAGGCAGCAAAAAGACAUUUGAUGCCAAACGUGAUGCCAUGAAGAAAAUCUCUGGCUACUUUUUGUGUAUUUAUUUUUACUUACUAAACUUACAUUUUAUCAACAUAUUUCUCCCAAAUGUCUGUUUUCCUAAUAUUUACUAUUAGCCUUUAUGACACCUAUAUUGUUAUAUCUUUAACGAUUUGUAUAGAUUAAUAUAUUAUAUUAUAUUAGGGCUGUCAAUCGAUUAAAAUAUUUAAUCGCGAUUAAUCGGAUGAUUGUCAUGAGUUAACGUGAGUUAACGCAUGCGCUCUCUCUCUCUCUCUCUCUCUGCCUGUUUUCUGUCUUUGUUUAUCUGCCGAUUCUACUUCUUUGCCGGUUCCUGAGCACCACAGCACACUUACACUCAUCCAAAAUGCUCUCAUUGCUUCAGACACGUCAUGAUGUUUAUCCCAAGCCCAUACACCCCAUGGUAUGGUUCCGACUGUGUCUGUCACCCAAGAACGGGAACUUCCCAGGCUGUGAAUUGUCGAUAACUGCUGGUGAUUAGAGAAGUCAUCAGGCAUUCACGGGGAUGAAAAUUUGCAUGUUGCAAAUUUUCAUGCAGUGACUAUCAAUCUGAUGUUUAAUUCUGUUUUAUUAGUUAUCACUAAUACAUUAUUACAAAUAUAGCAUUGCACAAACUGUCCUCAUGACUGCAUGAGCAAUAAUUUCAAUAUUGUUAAUAAACAUGCUUUUAAUAACAUCGUACAGUACAGUGGCUAGAUACAGAAUUCAUAUAUACAAAACAACAAAAAUAAUCCACAGGUUGUAAAGUCCAAGGAAACAGGCACUACCUAUCACUUCUCUCAUUUCUUUAUAUAAUUCUUGAACGCAUUGUUUAUCAGCUGUCUGACCUCUUGCAGAAUAACCUCCAUGAUCCCAACCAGUCUGGCUUCAAAGCAGCACAUUCCACAGAGACUGCCCUUUUGGUGGUCACUGAGAAACUACAUGCUGCUAGAUCAGCCAAGCUGUAAUCUGUCCUCAUCCUCCUUGACCUUUCUGCAGCAUUUGAUACAGUAAACCACAAGACUCUCUUGUCCACCCUCAGGAGUCUUGGAAUUUGUGGAACAGCAUGGGAAUGGCUUGCUUCUUACAUGGAUGGUUGCUCAUAUCAGGCAACAUGGAAGGGACUGACAUCUGCCCAUGCAAACUCUCUACUGGUGUCCCACAAGGCUCAGUAUUUGGUCCUCUCCUUUUCUCCCUCUAUACUCAUUCUCUAGGCAAAAUUAUAUCCUCACAUGGGUUUUCAUACCACUGCUAUGCCGAUGACAGCCAACUUAUCUUCUCCUUCCCUCCAUGAGCUCCCCUUCAGUCACUGCUUGCUACCUUGCGGUUAUCAUGGACAAUCAACUGUCCUUCUCCUCCCAUGUUGCUAAUGUGACACGCACAUGUUGGUUUCUUCUGUACAUCAGAAGGUUUCAACCAUUUCAAUCCACACAGGCUACUAACGUGCUUGUUCAGUCUCUUGUCAUUUCGAGAAUGGACUACUGCAAAUCUCUACUGGCAGGACUACAUCUGAAGGCAAUUCAUGCACUGCAAAUGAUCCAAAAUUCUGCUGCACAAUUUCUCCCACAGCACCCCACUGCUGCAUUCCCUCCACUGGCUUCAGGUAGCUGCAUGCAUCAGAUUAAAGACACUGAUGCUUGUCUACGAAGCCAAGAAUGGACCAGCACCAUCUUACCUCAAAGCUCUUAUUACUCCUCUCACUGCACCUUGCUCCCUCAGAUCCACUAGCACUGCUCAACUGGUCCCAUCAUCUCUCAGGGUAAAAGGUAAGUAUACAUCUAGACUCUUCUCUGUUCUGGCACCAAGGUGGUGGAAUGAACUUCCCCUAGAUAUCUGUACAGCCAAGUCACUGUUUGUUUUCACAUUGUGGCUGAAAACCUACCACUUCUAAAACAAAAUAAAACAAACAAAAACUCAGUUUUUAGGCUGAUGGUAUCCUAAGUCUGUGACCUUUUGAAACAGUGUUAAUGUAUUCAUUGAUGGAGACUUCAAAGAACUUUUGUACAUUACUCUGGAUAAGAGUGUCUGCCAAAUGCCAGAAAUGUAAAUGUAAAGAGUGCUGCCGGGUUCCACUCACUGCUGCAGUCCUGAAAUCCUUCCCUGAAAUCUCAAAAGUCAAAGAAGCUUUACUGUCACUUCAACCAUAUAUACUGUAGCUGAUGCAGUACACGGUGAAAUGAAACAACGUUCCUCCUAGACUAAAGGUGCUACACAUAACAAAAACAAAGUACAGGUGAUGCAGAUAGACAGAGCUAAAAACAGAGAUAAGGCUAAGCUAUACUUAAGGUGCAAUCUUUAGAAACUAGACAUACAACAGAAGUGCACAGGAUGACAAGACAAGACAGUGCAGACAAACAAGAGAUAUAACACCGACUCUGUGCAAAAGGAUAGUGUUGACAGUGAAUGCAAAUAUUAAAGUGACCUGUAAACAGGAUCAAUGUAAAGUGUAAUGUAAAGUGACAAAUGCUUGCAAACAGGAAUUUUGUGCGUGUGUGACUGUGUCCAGCACAGUUCAAUUUCUCUGUUGAAAAGUUCAGUCUCUCUGUUGAGAUCAGAUCUCGGUUGUAUGUG